GAUGAAGAACGUAGUGAAAUGCGAUACUUGGUGUGGAUUGCAAAAUCCCGUGAACCAUCGAGUCUUUGAACGCAAGUUGCGCCCGAAGCCAUUAGGCCGAGGGCACGCCUGCCUGGGCGUCACACGUCGUUGCCCCCCCAUCUAAUCCUUCGGGAUUGCGGGGGGCGGAUGAUGGCCUCCCGUGCGCCUCGUCGCGCGGUUGGCAUAAAUGCCAAGUCCUCGGCGACGCACGCCACGACAAUCGGUGGUUGCGAAACCUCGGUUGCCCGUUGUGUGCGGUCGUCGCGCAUCGAGGGCUCGAAAAAAUUGCCGGGCUCCGGCUCGACUUUCAACGCGACCCCAGGUCAGGCGGGGUUACCCGCUGAAUUUAAGCAUAUCAAUAAGCGGAGGA
rnacentral:misc_RNA from 1 species